CCCUUUCUGUCUCCCAGCUCUGUGAGACAAGUCUUCAGGAGCCCAAAUUUCACAGGGCAGUGAAGGGUGUCUUCCCCUGUCCACACCUAGGAAGAGAAGAGGCAGUGCCCUCUUGCUAAGCCUCCUUACCUAUCUCUGUCAGAGCAAUUCCAGCAAAACACUCCUGGGUGCUGUUUCCCAUGUGUCCUGGCAACUGGGCUUUCUCCAUACAUUGCCCCAAGGCCACCUGACAGCCCUUGUCCGUUUUUCAGGGGAGGGUUUGCAAUUAUAUAUAUAUAUAUUUGGGGGGUACCAGGGAUUGAACUCAGGGCACUCAACCACUGAGCCACAUCCCCAGACCUAUAUUUUUUUAUAUAUAUUUAUUUUUUAGUUGUAGUUGGACAUAAUAUCUUUAUGCUAUUUAUUUAUUUUUAUGUGGUGCCAAGGAUCAAACCCAGGGCCUUGCACGUGCUAGGCAAGUGAUCUACCACUGAGCCACAACCCCAGCCCCCAGUCCUAUUUUUUUUUAAUUUAUUUUUUAGUUGUAGUUGGACACAAUACCUUUAUUUCACUUAUUUUUUUUUAUGUGGUGCUAAGGAUCGAACCCAGGGUCUUGCACGUGCGAGGCGAGCACUCUACCGCUGAGCCACAACCCCAGCCCUAUUUUUUUAUUUUAUUUAGAGACAAGGUCUCACUGAGUUGCUUAGUGCCUCACCAUUGCUGAGGCUGGCUUUGAACUCAACAUCAUCCUGUCUCAGCCUCCAGAGCUGCUGGAAUUCAGGCGUGUAUCACCAUGCCUGGCUUGGCGAUUACAUCUGCCAGGGUCACCUCAGGUCUGUGUGGACUCCCAGAGCAGUGCUAAUCACCGACUGUUGUCCAGCCUUUGCAUGCCAAGCACUUGGCAUUUUUUCUUGUUGUUUUCAUAAAAACUGUGAGGGGGGCCUGCUCUGCUCCCCAGCUUCCAUCAGCUGCUGACACACACGUGGGGUGACCUGCCCGGGGUCUCAUGGCCAGCGGUGGUCAAGCUGGGAGUUGGCCCCUGUUGAUCAGGCAGCACAGCCUGGCCUGAAGUCCCUAUGCUGGACUAGCCCUACUAGGGAGGGUCUCUCCUCUGUCCACUACAGCCCCUAUCCACCUCACUGCCAUUUGUGGGUCUCCUUAUACUCUGUGAAGUGUGGUCUGUUUACGGGUAUUUUGUUGAGUGGCAGAACCAGGAAGUCCCUCCAUGCUGGGUGCCUGGGAGAUCAAAGGUUGUUGACCUGCCUUCUCCUUCUCACCAAAAACUGAUGCAUUUUCUGGAAGAAAGGAACCUGUGUUUGGGGAUACUGAGAACUUUCUUUGGAUGCUCGCGGAGAUGACAUGGGAUCAGAAAGCUGUUCCUCCACAGACCACGGGUUGGCUCUCUCUCCUUU